UUGGAGAGUUUUUGAGUGCUGAAAAGAAUAGCUACUAUUGUAUUGCCUCACUUAGGAUCUGCAAUAGCUAGAAACCCUAUUCCUUUCUUUCUACUUCUUUUCUAUACUAGAAGUUAAAAUAGUUGGUGUCGUUUAUAGGUUUGGAUCUGCUUAUUUGAAUCAAAAUUCAAUACCAAUUGGUUUGGCCAAGGUCGUGUUUUGGGUGUUUUGGUUUCUAUUGGCUUCACACUAUCCCUGGGUUGUUUGAAUUGAGCUCUGGGCUGUUGGUUGAUUUUUGCCUGUUAUUGCUGCUGGUGUAUUGUUGUUGAAUCUGCCGCUACUGCCUUCUCUUUAUUCUUGUUUUGUUUUCAAAUCCAGGUACACAUUUGAAUCACGUAUGGCUAUAGCUUGGAUAUUGAAAUGAUGCAAUAAAAUCGGCAAUCCUCUUGUCUUUUGAAGUUUAUAUAUUCAAACUGCCUUAGUAGUAUAGUUAGUAAAUGGUUCAUAUUAGACACUUUCCAAUUGUAUUUACUUUGUAGGAAUGGGAAUGUACUUGAAUUAGUUGGGACUGUUUUAGACUUUAAAUUUGAGGUUAUAUAGCAAGGGUCUUGUCAUAGUUGUAUACGUAUUUUAAUUAGUAUUCUAUAAGUAAUAAAAACACAGUUCUGAAGUGAUUUAAAUAGUUUGGAAGUCAUCAUGUGGUGUCUGUGACAAUGGUGGUUUCAAGUUGCAUGUAUAAUCCAAACAGCUCUGCGUUACAUUAGCUAAUCAACAAUAUGGAUAACUUGUUGUAGUCGCCUUAGAAUUAGAUGUGAAUGAAAUGCAAAUUAAGGCUGUUAAUUCGUUCUCGUUAGUGUAGUAAAAUAAUCAGGCCAAUUCGGGUCAAUAAUUUAGACGUAGUUUAAAGGAUUCAAUUCAAGAUUUAGCAAUAAUACAAGUUUGUGAUUUGAGUUAGGUAGCGGGUUCAAAUUAAAAGGUCCCCCUUUUUUGUUUGGAUCUGGACUUGAACUUGGAGCCCGAACUUUUAAUGUCAACUAAUUACCUUUUCUUUAUUCUUUGAGACAAAGGUAUAGAAAAUCAUAGUUGCUUCAGGAUACCCUUAAACAAUAUAUGAGAUGAGCCUCGCCGGACAAAGAACAUAAAUUGCGGGGCUCUCGUUAAAUGUAUAUAUUAAAACUCCUAGAUUUCCGGAGGACCAUCUAGAGAAUUUUAUGGCUUUAUCAAAAACAUUAAUGCGUUAGUCUCUUUC
rnacentral:lncRNA from 1 species